rnacentral:rRNA from 1 species
UACGUAGGGUGCAAGCGUUAAUCGGAAUUACUGGGCGUAAAGCGUGCGCAGGCGGUGAUGUAAGACAGAUGUGAAAUCCCCGGGCUUAACCUGGGAACUGCAUUUGUGACUGCAUCGCUGGAGUGCGGCAGAGGGGGAUGGAAUUCCGCGUGUAGCAGUGAAAUGCGUAGAUAUGCGGAGGAACACCGAUGGCGAAGGCAAUCCCCUGGGCCUGCACUGACGCUCAUGCACGAAAGCGUGGGGAGCAAACAGGAUUGAGAA